rnacentral:rRNA from 1 species
AUUGAACGCUGGCGGCAUGCCUUACACAUGCAAGUCGAACGGCAGCACGGGUGCUUGCACCUGGUGGCGAGUGGCGAACGGGUGAGUAAUACAUCGGAACAUACCUUAUCGUGGGGGAUAACGCAGCGAAAGCUGUGCUAAUACCGCAUACGCCCUGAGGGGGAAAGCGGGGGAUCGAAAGACCUCGCGCGAUUAGAGCGGCCGAUGCCUGAUUAGCUUGUUGGUGGGGUAAAAGCCCACCAAGGCGACGAUCAGUAGCUGGGCUGAGAGGACGAUCAGCCACACUGGGACUGAGACACGGCCCAGACUCCUACGGGAGGCAGCAGUGGGGAAUUUUGGACAAUGGGGGCAACCCUGAUCCAGCAAUGCCGCGUGAGUGAAGAAGGCCGUCGGGUUGUAAAGCUCUUUUGUCAGGGAAGAAACACCGGCUCUAACACAGUCCGGGAAUGACGGUACCUGAAGAAUAAGCACCGGCUAACUACGUGCCAGCCGCCGCAGUAA